rnacentral:rRNA from 1 species
AGCCGCCUGGGAAGUACGUCCGCAAGGAUGAAACUUAAAGGAAUUGGCGGGGGAGCACUACAACCGGAGGAGCCUGCGGUUUAAUUGGACUCAACGCCGGACAUCUCACCAGCACCGACAACGGUAAUGAUGGUCAGGUUGAUGACCUUACCCGACGCCGUUGAGAGGAGGUGCAUGGCCGCCGUCAGCUCGUACCGUGAGGCAUCCUGUUAAGUCAGGCAACGAGCGAGACCCGCGUCCGUAAUUGCCAGCAGCAUCCUCGUGGUGGCUGGGUACAUUACGGAGACUGCCACGGCUAACGUGGAGGAAGGAACGGGCAACGGUAGGUCAGCAUGCCCCGAAUGUGCUGGGCAACACGCGGGCUACAAUGGCCUGGACAAUGGGUAACUACUCCGAGAGGAGACGUUAAUCCCCUAAACCGGGUCGUAGUUCGGAUUGAGGACUGAAACUCGUCCUCAUGAAGCUGGAUUCGGUAGUAAUCGCGUGUCAGAAGCGCGCGGUGAAUACGUCCCUGCUCCUUGCACACACCGCCCGUCAAAUCACCGAGUGGGGUCCGGAUGAGGCCAUCAU